AUAGGGGAGCCGGAGGGAAACCGAGUCUUAAUUGGGCGUUAAGUUGCAGGGUAUAGACCCGAAACCCGGUGAUCUAGCCAUGGGCAGGUUGAAGGUUGGGUAACACUAACUGGAGGACCGAACCGACUAAUGUUGAAAAAUUAGCGGAUGACCUGUGGCUGGGGGUGAAAGGCCAAUCAAACCGGGAGAUAGCUGGUUCUCCCCGAAAGCUAUUUAGGUAGCGCCUCGUGAAUUCAUCUCCGGGGGUAGAGCACUGUUUCGGCUAGGGGGCCAUCCCGGCUUACCAACCCGAUGCAAACUGCGAAUACCGGAGAAUGUUAUCACGGGAGACACACGGCGGGUGCUAACGUCCGUCGUGAAGAGGGAAACAACCCAGACCGCCAGCUAAGGUCCCAAAGUCAUGGUUAAGUGGGAAACGAUGUGGGAAGGCCCAGACAGCCAGGAUGUUGGCUUAGAAGCAGCCAUCAUUUAAAGAAAGCGUAAUAGCUCACUGGUCGAGUCGGCCUGCGCGGAAGAUGUAACGGGGCUAAACCAUGCACCGAAGCUGCGGCAGCGAACGUAUCACCCAAGACAACUUUACGGAGUUGACGAUUGACGGAGCGAAGCGACGUCAAAGCGUUCAUUAAAGUCGAGUUGGCUUAGGGAUACGUUCGUUGGGUAGGGGAGCGUUCUGUAAGCCUGUGAAGGUGUGUCGUGAGGCAUGCUGGAGGUAUCAGAAGUGCGAAUGCUGACAUAAGUAACGAUAAAGCGGGUGAAAAGCCCGCUCGCCGGAAGACCAAGGGUUCCUGUCCAACGUUAAUCGGGGCAGGGUGAGUCGACCCCUAAGGCGAGGCCGAAAGGCGUAGUCGAUGGGAAACGGGUUAAUAUUCCCGUACUUGGUGUUACUGCGAAGGGGGGACGGAGAAGGCUAUGUUGGCCGGGCGACGGUUGUCCCGGUUUAAGCGUGUAGGUGUGUGUUCCAGGUAAAUCCGGUUCACUUUAACACUGAGGCGUGACGACGAGGCACUACGGUGCUGAAGCAACAAAUGCCCUGCUUCCAGGAAAAGCCUCUAAGCAUCAGGUAACAUCAAAUCGUACCCCAAACCGACACAGGUGGUCAGGUAGAGAAUACCAAGGCGCUUGAGAGAACUCGGGUGAAGGAACUAGGCAAAAUGGUGCCGUAACUUCGGGAGAAGGCACGCUGACACGUAGGUGAAGUGAUUUACUCAUGGAGCUGAAGUCAGUCGAAGAUACCAGCUGGCUGCAACUGUUUAUUAAAAACACAGCACUGUGCAAACACGAAAGUGGACGUAUACGGUGUGACGCCUGCCCGGUGCCGGAAGGUUAAUUGAUGGGGUCAGCGCAAGCGAAGCUCCUGAUCGAAGCCCCGGUAAACGGCGGCCGUAACUAUAACGGUCCUAAGGUAGCGAAAUUCCUUGUCGGGUAAGUUCCGACCUGCACGAAUGGCGUAAUGAUGGCCAGGCUGUCUCCACCCGAGACUCAGUGAAAUUGAACUCGCUGUGAAGAUGCAGUGUACCCGCGGCAAGACGGAAAGACCCCGUGAACCUUUACUAUAGCUUGACACUGAACAUUGAGCCUUGAUGUGUAGGAUAGGUGGGAGGCUUUGAAGUGUGGACGCCAGUCUGCAUGGAGCCGACCUUGAAAUACCACCCUUUAAUGUUUGAUGUUCUAACGUGGACCCGUAAUCCGGGUUGCGGACAGUGUCUGGUGGGUAGUUUGACUGGGGCGGUCUCCUCCUAAAGAGUAACGGAGGAGCACGAAGGUUGGCUAAUCCUGGUCGGACAUCAGGAGGUUAGUGCAAUGGCAUAAGCCAGCUUGACUGCGAGCGUGACGGCGCGAGCAGGUGCGAAAGCAGGUCAUAGUGAUCCGGUGGUUCUGAAUGGAAGGGCCAUCGCUCAACGGAUAAAAGGUACUCCGGGGAUAACAGGCUGAUACCGCCCAAGAGUUCAUAUCGACGGCGGUGUUUGGCACCUCGAUGUCGGCUCAUCACAUCCUGGGGCUGAAGUAGGUCCCAAGGGUAUGGCUGUUCGCCAUUUAAAGUGGUACGCGAGCUGGGUUUAGAACGUCGUGAGACAGUUCGGUCCCUAUCUGCCGUGGGCGCUGGAGAACUGAGGGGGGCUGCUCCUAGUACGAGAGGACCGGAGUGGACGCAUCACUGGUGUUCGGGUUGUCAUGCCAAUGGCACUGCCCGGUAGCUAAAUGCGGAAGAGAUAAGUGCUGAAAGCAUCUAAGCACGAAACUUGCCCCGAGAUGAGUUCUCCCUGAGACUU
rnacentral:rRNA from 1 species